GACGAACGCUGGCGGCGUGCCUAAUACAUGCAAGUUGAGCGAUGAAGAUUGGUGCUUGCCCCAAUUUGAAGAGCAGCGAACGGGUGAGUAACGCGUGGGGAAUCUGCCUUUGAGCGGGGGACAACAUUUGGAAACGAAUGCUAAUACCGCAUAACAACUUUAAACAUAAGUUUUAAGUUUGAAAGAUGCAAUUGCAUCACUCAAAGAUGAUCCCGCGUUGUAUUAGCUAGUUGGUGAGGUAAAGGCUCACCAAGGCGAUGAUACAUAGCCGACCUGAGAGGGUGAUCGGCCACAUUGGGACUGAGACACGGCCCAAACUCCUACGGGAGGCAGCAGUAGGGAAUCUUCGGCAAUGGACGAAAGUCUGACCGAGAAACGCCGCGUGAGUGAAGAAGGGUUUCGGAUCGUAAAACUCUGUUGGUAGAGAAGAACGUUGGUGAGAGUGGAAAGCUCAUCAAGUGACGGUAACUACCCAGAAAGGGACGGCUAACUACGUG
rnacentral:rRNA from 1 species